CUACGGAGGUGGAAGCUGUGUGUGAGCUGCGCCCCGCAGCCCGCUCUCCCGCUCCAUUCUUCCCGCAGCCCCCCCUGCUCCAACCAGGUGACUGGGGGCUCAGCGGACCCGCCCUGCCGCCCGGAAUGGAGCGGGUCCCCAUGGAGCCCAAACUCCCUGCUCCACCUCUCUUCCCGCUGCCGCCGCCAAGCCGCUCCGAGCCCGAGGGAGAUGGCAACCCCCAUCCUUGUGCACGCCGUUGGACAGACUCCGCGCCGGAGCCCCGUCUGCCCUGGGCUGCCAGAGGUCUCCACAUCCUCCUCCUCCCUACUCUACCUGAGCUUCUUCCUCAUCUGCGGGACCCUGUGCCAAGGAACCUACCCAAAUCCAGGCCUGCUCCCUGAAACAUUGGUAAGAAACUGGAAAAAGAGGCUAAUAUGGAGAGGGAAGAAGUUUGGCAAGCUCUUUGGAGAGAAAAAGGACAGAGCUGAGCAAAUCUGCCUGCCAAAAUAUCACCCCUUUUCCAUGCUCCAUUCACAACCACCAGCCCAUUUUUCCACAUGACAAUCCUCUGCAGUCCAGAAGCUUGAAAAUUACAAGCCCAAGAUUCAAGACACAUGUUUCUUGUCCAGAGUCCUGCCUGUCUAGAAACAAAGAUAAAUCAGACCUCAGAGAAUCCGUCAAGCACUAUAUCCACUGGGCCCCCUAACCAGACUAGAAGUGCCCCAGUACAUUCUGAAGGGACACCUAUCACCUAUGUCCCCUGUGUGAGGUGAGGUGAUUUUGGAUGGAGUGACAACGACCCAGUGUCAGCAACCCUUCAUCUCUGGGCGUGUCUAUGGGGUUCUGCCAAACUUACCUCCACUGCAUCUCAGACUGAAGGUUCAGGGAGCUGCAGAUGGGCUCUGCCUGUGCUCUGGCACCGUCUGGUGUCCAUGCGCUCUAACAUUAACUCUCAGCUCUUCCGCCAGUUCCCUCAGUAGCCCUCUGGGCUGCACUGGCCUUGGACACCUGCCAGCUUGAUUUUCUUCCUCCUCUCCCUCUCAGUGCACUGAAGUGCCCUAUAGACCAGGGUAUUUCUCAAAGUCUCCUAGAGCGCUCACCACAACCCAAUACAGUAAAACUUGUUGCCUCCCCACCGUUGGGUCCUGAGAGCCCUCUUAUAUCAAUCCCCCUGCCUCAGUUCAUGAUACUGCCUUUAGGUCUGCUUCCUGCAAUAGAGGUAAGAUACAUGGGAAAAAAAGGCUCAAUGGACAGAAAAGAAGGAAGUUUAUGGAGAUGUCUUGAGAGAAAAUUCACAGUGAUUUGCAUAGCUGCCAACCAAAAUAUUACAACUUUUACAUGCUACAUUUAUGAAUAACAUCCCUUAUUUGUACAUGAUACACUCACAGAGGCCUUAGGCUUGAAACUACAAGCCCAAGAUUCAAGACAGAUGUUUCUGGGUCCUGAGUUGUGCCUCUCCUGAAACAAGGGAAGUCUGGCCCCAGAGAACCUGUCAAACUCUCUGGCCCUUGGGCCACAUGACCAGGCUGGAAAUACCCAUCAGAUUUUGAAGCCACAGGCAUGUCCCCACACUGAGGUGAGAAAAUUCUGGGCCAGAGAGUCAGAGGCACCCUGUAACCAAACCCUACAACUCUGGGCACAUCCUGAGUGUUCCACCAACUCAUCUUCAACCACAUCUCUAAGCUGGAGGUGUGUCCAGGAAGCUGCAGGUAUACGUUUCUGCUGCUCUGGCACCAUCUGGCGGCCAUCAGCUCUAACAUCAACUCUCAGCCCUUCAUUCUGUUUUCCCUCAGCUGUUCCCUGGGGCUGUUCUGGCUUUAGAUCUCUGCCAGCUUGAUGUUCUUUCUCUCAUCCUCUAAGCUUAAUGAAGUGCCCUACAGACUGGGCCGUUUCUCUUUCAAAGUCUACCAGAGCACUCAUGCCAACCUACCCUAUCAAUACAUUAAAACCCUCUGCUUCC
ensembl:lncRNA